rnacentral:sRNA from 1 species
GCUGGGUGCAGUGGCGCACACCUGUAAUCCCAGCGGCUCGGGAGGCUGAGGCAGGAGGAUUGAGAGUUCAAAACCAGCUUCAG